rnacentral:misc_RNA from 1 species
AAAGUCGUAACAAGGGUCUCCGUAGGUGAACCCUGCGGAGGGGAUCAUUACCAAAGAUGGCGGGCCUCCGGGCCCCCCGUCCCCCAACCCCUUUUGUUUGACCAAAAACCUUUUUUGCCUCGGGGGGCAGAGCGUCCGCCGCCGCCCCCCGGAGGACCACCGAACGCUGUCUCUUUACGUCGGAGUAUUGAUUGAAUAAAUGAAAA